rnacentral:lncRNA from 1 species
AGUGGCGGAGCCAGAAAUUUUAUGAAGCCUGGGCAAGUUAAGACUAAGUGCAUAAUAAUCACACAAAAUUUGAUUUUGAAGUGAGCUAAUAUAUCAAUAUCCAAAUAAAAUUGAGACAUAACAACAAAAGAUACAUAUUCAGCUUGGCAAGAAUAGAGAUGGUCAGAAUAUUUGAAGGAUACUCACAAAUUUGUUUUCUCUUUCCUGGAUCGCGCUCAAUAUCAUUUGGAUUAAAUUCAAUGGCAAUGUUAGGAGCUGGUGGUGCCUCCACUUCUAUUUCCGGUUGCACGCCAUUCCCAUUUUAGUGCUUGCUCUAUUAACUAAGAACCUCCUCAGUUCUGAAAUUUAAUGAUAAAGUUUGAAAUUAGUUGUUAAGCAAGUAAAUAAGAAAUGAUUACAACAAGUGCAAAUUCAUAGUACGUAACUACUUGCAUCAAAGAAAUAAUGCAUUCUAAGUAAGCAACUAAAAGUACUAAUCAGAUUCACAACUAAGUACUUCUAGACUUAAUACAGAUUGUACUAAUACAGAUUGAAUACAUGUACGUGAGAACUAGAAAUACUAAUACAGAUUGAAUACAUGCACGUGAGAUGAGAUGGUGAGAAAAUCAUACGAGGACCAAUUAAUUCUGAUGGAGAUUAGUUAGCUGGGACAAGAGCUCUCCUUCCAAUUAAUUCUGCAAGAACAAAUUUUGACGAAGAUUAGUUACUUAGUUCCCUAGCCGGCUAACCCUAAUUCUGAUGGAGAUUAGUUACUUAGUUUCUUAGCAAACCGAAGCAAAACAAUCGAAGACGUGAGAACUGAGAAGGGAUGAAUGAACGAGUACACUGCCCAGGCCGCCGGGCGCCUCACCCUCACGUCCGCUCGCCGUCGUCGCCCACCGGCCGGGCCCUGCGUCGACUCGCCGCCAGCCGCCUGUGAGCAAACGAAACGACGGAGGAGUUCACGAUCGAUCCGAGUGAGCCAACGAUGGAUUCCCAGGCGUGUGUAUUCUGUAUAUCGGGCUAUCGGCCUCGUUGCUGAUUGGGCUACUGCCUGCUGCAUUGGGGUGGGCUGUUGUGGCCCAUUUUUUUUUGCCCGGGUAAGCAAAGCCAUACAACGGUAAUUGGCUCUUAUAAUACCGAUCCAUCACAACUGUCGUGGACGAGGGAGCCCGGGCAACUGCCCAGGGUGGCUGGGCGGUGCCUCCGCCACUGGCUGCAGUCAGUCCACAUAUAACCCCCCCCCCUCCUCCUUUGAUACUGUUGCAUACUUAGCCUAGUUCUAAUAUAAGUCUUGCGAGUACUUUGGAUGAGUACUCGCCGUUGCUUUGCUCCCCCUUUACCCCCUUGAUCCGUUACUGCGACCAGAUGAUGGAGCCCAGGAGAUGGCGUAUCCUGCCGACGACGACUGCUACCCCGAUGAUGCCUACUACUACGUGGAGGCCGCUGAAGUCCAGGAAUAGUUAGGAGGUUCCGAGGCAGGACGUCUCGCGUCGUUCGAUCGUGUAUCUUUUGUGCUAGCCUUCUCUAAGGCACCCCAUGUUUAAUGUCUGUACUCAGAGAUUGUUGCUUCCGCUAACUCGUGUGUUUAUCGAGCUUCCGUAUUCUACCCCUCAAGGUCCCUCGUUUGUAAUAUGAAGCUUGUAUGUUUUAUUUAUGUCUAGAGUUGUGUUGUGAUAUCUUCCCGUGAGUCCUUAAGUUUGACCGUACGCAUUUGCGUGUAUGUUUAGCGCACGAUUAAAUCUAGGACGUCACAGCCCUGUCUUCACGAAAUGAUGAGCAUGCCAUUUGAAUGGGGAUCCAUUGAGCCACACACAAACUUCAUGAUAUGGACUUCAUGAUAUGUAGAUGCAGGUGGAACCACCGGGUUGUAGCAACUCCUAGGCCUGGUGGAGGAACCGGUUGCUCUCGAAGAUAUUUAGAUGCAGGUCACAACGUGAAGGUGAGGUGGUGGCAUGAUGUAUGGCCACAGUGCCACACACAAACUUCAUGAUAUGUAGAUGUAGGUGACACAACGCUUGAUGUAUGGCCGCCUUUUUAUUUUAUGUGUUUUUAGCAAAUACUUCCACAUUACCAUUUAUUGAAAUACACAAAAGGAAAUUUGAAGUCUUAAUAUUUUUUCAUACAUGUAAACAUAUUUUUUCUAAAAUAUAAAAAUAUUUGUUCCGAAAUACAUGUUUUUUUUGCAAGUAAGUUAACACUCUAUUUGUAGUCAAACAACUAGUUUAGAAUACAUGUUUAUUCUUUCAAUACCUAGAUAGUUUUUAUCAUUUACAACAUUUUUAGAACAUAUAUAAAACAAAAACACAUGUUUCUCAUUUUUAUAAAAAAAAUGUGAAAUGUGUCACGCUAGUGGCUGGCUAUAAAUGUACCUUGUUGUAUUGGGAACAUAUACAAUUUAAAAACUAUUAGUGUAGUUCUAAACGAAAUAAAGUACAAAAGAAACAUCGGUUAUCGUGUAUGUUGAAAUUAUUCAAUUGGUUAUCUUUUCCCUAAAAUGUUUGUAUAAAUGAUAAAAUUGUUCAAACAUUAAAAAUUACUUGAUGAUAACCCAACGUUAUUGCGGGAAUUGUUUGCUCUAUAUUUUGAUGAAGUUGGAACAUGAGUAUUCGAUUAUUGUAUAGUUGUAGGAUAUUUAUCAAAAAUUGUAGGAUAAUUGUUUUCACAUGCAUGGUUGCAUGUUGUGGUGGAUCUCUUCUCAUGCAUGUUAGCAUGUACAGGUAGCUAUUUUCUCAUGCAUAGUUACAUGAUGAGGUAAACCUCAAAAAAAGUUACAUGAUAAGGUGGGAUAGUUGCAUGGAGAUAAAUACAAGUAGUGGAGAUCACUCUCUACACGUUGUUGUGAGGAUCUAUUGUAAUAUAUUUUAAUUAGAUUUGCUUUCUAUGAAACAUGAACAUUUGGGUAAUAAUAUGAAACUAAAACUAAAAAUCCAUAGAUUUAUUGUACUUGAUUAUUGUAUAGUUAUAAAAUGUUUAUUAAAUAUAGAGUGGAAAUUAUCAUGCACGUUUCCAUGCUACUGUGGGCCUUUCCCAUUAAUGUUGCAUGAUGUGGCACGCUUGUAUUGAGAGAAAUAUAUAAGUGAGGCUAGAUAUUUAGAUAUAUGAUUUUUCUUUUUGACAAAAGAUGCAAAUCUUAUAAAACAAAAAUGAUAGGAAAACGGAAAAUAGAGCAAGAAU